CUAACCAAGGUUGUGACGGGUAACGGGGAAUCAGGGUUCGAUUCCGGAGAGGGAGCUUGAGAAUUGGCUACCACAUCCAAGGAAGGCAGCAGGCGCGCAAAUUACCCAAUUCAGACAGUGAGAGGUGGUGACGAGAAUUACCAAGUGGUGACCAUAAGGUUGCCAAUUUGGAAUGAACGUAAUUUAAGAAAUUCGAUGAGUAACAACUGGAGGGCAAGUCCGGUGCCAGCAGCCGCGGUAAUUCCGGCUCCAGUAGCGUAUUUUAAAAUUGUUGCGCUUAAAACGCUCGUAGUUGGAUGACACAGUCAUGAUCAGUUGAUUGUCAUGGUUAUACAUUAAACUUUGACUCUCUACUGUAGAUGUCUAACGACGUAUAUGGUGUUGAGUUGAAAGUAUAACUAUGGCAAUUGUGUGCUGAAUGUGACUAGUUGCACGUGAGGAUGAUGGUUGACCUUUAGUGCGUUGACUGUUAUGUCUCACGGAGUGUGCCUUGAAUAAAUCAGAGUGCUCAAAGCAGGCUUUAAGCUUGAAUGUUAAUAGCAUGGAACGAACAAACGUGUUUAUGUAUAAUAUAAUUGAUUUUGAUUUGUCUAUGAUAGAUUAUUGUGUUUGUGUUAUACUGCACCAACCACCAAUAACGGACGUUGGUUCCGUAUUGGGGUGAUGAUUAAAAAGAGCGGUUGGGGGCAUUGGUAUUUGUCCGCGAGAGGUGAAAUUCUUGGACCGGACAAGGACUAACAAAUGCGAAGGCAUUUGCCUAGACCGUCUCUAUUAAUCAAGAACGAUAGAGGAAGGAUCGAAGAGGAUCAGAUACCCUCGUAGUUUCCUCCGUAAACUAUGCCAACCCGGGAUGAGUUUAGAGCUAAUUAUAACGCUCUAGGUUGGUCCCCCUGGGAAACCUGAAGUUUUUCGGUUGCGGGGGGAGUAUGGUUGCAAAGCUGAAACUUAAAGGAAUUGACGGAAGGGCACCACCAGGAGUGGAGCCUGCGGCUUAAUUUGACUCAACACGGGAAAACUUACUCGGUUCGGACAUUGACAGGAUAAACAGUUUGAUAGAACUUUUUUGAUACGGUGAAUGGUGGUGCAUGGCCGUUUUUAGUUCGUGGAGUAAUCUGUCAGGCUAACCCCGGUAACGAACGAGAUCAGCGUCUCCAUUUGGGGUGUACAAGAAAUCUAUGGGUAGUGCUGCAUUGUUUCGACAGUGUCGCAUUUAUUGAUAGUUAGAGGCUGUGUGGGUGUGCUGUUGCCGAUGGUAAUGUCAACUCGUUAAAAGGUUGAUAUUGCUUAAGGUGACUGUUUAGCUUGCACUCCCUUGUACCAAACAGUAUAUAGUGUAAACUGUAUGCUGUCUCAUGGAGAGACGGGUGGAUAUAAUCAAACCACAGGACGGCUGGCAAAAACAGGUCUGUUAUGCCCU
rnacentral:rRNA from 1 species